UUCUUCGGGGUUGGGUGUAAUUCCCUACUGGCGGUAAAGUCCGCGACCCAUGGCAGACGAAACCUGCGAAAGCGGGACAGAUGUCAUGGCUGACUCGGUGAAAGUCCGGGACCAACAGUAAAGUCUGGAUGAAAGAAGAA
rnacentral:ncRNA from 1 species